UGUGGCUCAAGGUCUAGCAAGCAUGUAUAUAUGGCUGUGGUAGGAAUUUAAACUCUCAUCAUACAGGAACUCAUCAUGCAACAUUUUAAAGAUUUUCAAAGAUAAAAUUCUCCAGAAUUCUAGCAUCUCUAGGAACAGAUAAACAGCAGCUCAACCUUCCCAUAUCGUAUCCGUUAACAACUUAGACUUCAGAUCAAGUUUUCAUCCCUAAAGUUUAGGUCUAGAGCAAGCCUUAAAUUAUAACAGUUAUAUCUAAACUUGAGAGAGAACUUCAAAUUUACAAAUUAGGCAGAGCAACUAUUCAUCAUAUCCAUGCUUAAGUUUUAUUAGAUACCGAUUAGCAUAGCCACUUUAUUUUUUUAUUAAACACACUAAGCAAAAUAUAUAUAAGCAUAAAAUCUUUAUUUGGUUUUUCAUAGUUAUGUGUAUUUAUAUUCUAAUAUAGUAUAAGUAUAAAGAUAGAUAGAAAUACUUAUCGAGAUAAAUGGGGGUGCUCUCCCCCAAGCUGAAUUUUGACGUAAUUUCUCUUGAUGUAGCUAGCAGGUGGCAGAGGUGUGUUUGAAAGUCAGCAGUAUUUUGACAGCGAUUAGAAUGUCCUCCAUCUACUAGUCUUCUUGAUUCUUAGAUUCUGUGGAGCUCAAAUAGACAACAAAGCUUGUGGAACUGAUUAAGUGUUAGCAUAAAUAUCUAGCCUUUAUCAUGUUGAGACUCCUUAAUAAAUAUUACUCUCUUUGGUAGGAUCACAAUCUUAUUUUUAUAUUUUCAUCAUUUUUUUUAUAGAGUAGAAAAAAUAUUUAUUUUAUUUUUAUGCCACCACAGUCAAUGUACCUAUGGGUUUUAUGCCAUGAGCAUACUCACAUGGGGCUUACUAUAUUUUUUUUAGCAUUUUUAUUUUCUUUUCAAGAUAGUAUGAUCCUGAUUAACUAAGCAAACUAUAAUUGAAUAAUUGAAAGGAAAAAGAUAACUACCAAGUUUACCUCUUGGCAAGGCGUUCGGUGUUUUUAAGUCCUCCGAAUGGGACUCCUUGUGUUUUCAGUCGUCCUGGGAUUCGCUAGGUGGCGUAGUCGGUGACUCCGGUGGCGCCUCCUCUUUGUGUAUAACUUUGUUCUCUUUCCACACCUGACUCGGUGCUACGGUCUCCUCAGGACAGUUCUGUUCAAGUUGUAUAUCUUCAGUCCUUAUCACUUCUCCUUCGUAGUCUACCCAUCCGUCCUUGAUGAUUUGCCUCCUCUGGUUGCGGUUGCGUUGUCUUCUUCUUGUCCUAACCAGCUUAGAAUCUUCAACUAUAUAAUCAUUAAAGUAGUGGCGUACCUUUCUCAGAGGGGAAGUGCAUAUGGACUUCUCCGGUUCCAAUAUAGAUAAUGGCUUUGAUAGUGUUUAGGAACGGUCUUCCAAGGAUGGUGGAUGGAUCAUACUUGUCUUCUCCCAUGUCAAUGACCUGAAAAUUGUUUGAAGCUGAAUGUAUCUUGGUUGUAGGGGCAUGGUUCCAUGCAGGAGCUGAUAAGUGACUGCGGCCAUUAUGUUGUCGUCAGAUCCGGUGUCGUAGAGUGUCUUCUGAAAAGAGUAUCCGUUGAUUGUGCACUCGAUGCUUGGAACACCAGGGUUGUUCUUCUUAAUCAAGAAAUGUGACUUGAGUCGAUGAUCUUGACCUCCUUGAGCUGCAGUGACCAUCUUAGCUGACUCGGUCCACAUUUGCUUGUUCCUUUUCCUCCUGUUGGUCCUCUUCCUUGGUUUAUGUCGGGAUUGCUCUGAAGCUUGUGUAGUCUUGUUCUUGAAGGAAACUCUCCUUCUUCCCCUUGAUGUAGAGACUGAUCUUGGCAGCAUUAGCGUAGAUGACUGCUCUGGUGUUUAGAAAUGGCCUCCCUAAGAUGAUGGGUGCCCUCUCCUCAGUGCCAGUCUCUAUCACCACGAAGUUUACUGGAGUGUACAAGGUACCAACUCGGACACAGAGGUUCUUCAAUAUUUCCUUUGGGAAACUAAGUGUCUGAUCUCCAUUGUGUAUGUGCUUGUAGAUCCCGGUUCUUCACUUGAUGGAAUCUGGGAGUUGUAAAACGCCUUCACGUUUCUCAAAAAUGUGUCCUGCUCAUAGAGGCAAGGCAGAGAUCAAGUGCAUGGGCCCUAUUGGUGGAAAACACCAACAGAACCAAAAGUGUAUUUGUUCUUCUCUAACCUUAAGCAUAGUGAGCAAGACAAAGUUGAUGGAUCAUGAGUGUAGCAUUUAAAACAUUUGUUAGAUCAGAUGGCUCAACCUAAUGGAAAGAUAAUCUAUCUAUAUUUAUGUUUUGUUUAUAUCUUCCAAAGAUUGAAUGUGCAAUACUUUAGCUUAUACGAUUAGGAGUGUGGGAUCACGAAGGUAGUACUAAGAACAAAGAUUAAAGGACUAAUCAUGUUGAAUUAACUGGGUUGGUUAAUUUGGAGCUACAAAUCAUACAUGUUUGUCUCUAUAUUUUAUGUGAAUGCUAGGACUAAGGAGAAGCUUAUAAAAGUGAUAGUCAAGUACCUUAAGAUGUUACCUUACUUGAAGAGUGAUGGAAUAGUAUCACCUUGUGGAAGCUUUCCUUUCUUAGCGGUUGUGCAUCGUGUUUGUGGCACCCUCCAUGAAUCAUCUCUUUAUGAUGAAUGCGCUAUGUCCUUCUUGUGCAAAAUGUUAAACUUCAUGUGUCUCCUUUAUCUCCAAUGAGUUUGUAUCUCAGGACUUCCCAGGUUGAUAUUGAAAGUUUUCCUGCAGGGGUUAGUCCAACAAAAUAUCCCAUAUCUACUAUAGCAUACUAUCGGCUCAAAAAUCAACCUAGACACCAUGUCUAAUUUGAUUUAGGAGGGCAUUUUAACCUAAGCACCAUGCUUAAUUUAAAAAUCCUUUGGAAGUAAGAUCAUCAUUCCUAAACUAAGCACCAUGCUUGAUUUAAGAGAUAAAUGAAACUACUCCAAACCUAUACAUAUACUAAAGCAAAUAAAGGUACCAUGAGAGCAUUUAUAGCGAUCUACUCAAAUGGAGGUGAAGUAGUGUAAUUAGUACUUAACAAAUUGAGCAUCUCUCAAAGGUAGGGACAAUCAACGUAGCAACAUGGCAGGGGAUGUUUUUAUGUAAAGUACUCCCCUAAGCUCGAAUUUUGCAAAAUUCAAGUUUGGAUGAAUUUAAUUCAAGUUGUGUGAUGGUUGGUUGCACAUACCUUGUGCUUGUCAUUCAUCCGAUCUUCUUGCUCCAAUCCUAGAAAGGUUAGUGACAAGAAUACCCGAAGGAAUAUUUCUACAAUUAUCUUUAUAUGCUCAAUACACAAGGCAAUGUUGCAAAUAAUUAGAAGUGCUUGUUUUAGGACACUAAGCUUGUCCUUGGGAAACCAUCAAUUAACUCAACGAGAUCUGCAAUAUUUAUUAUAGACAUAUGCAUCGACAACCGCUCUUUUAAAGUUUUUAUAAAUAGAAAAGAAGAGAGGGUUGGAGAUCUCAAAUGUGAUAAGGAUGGAGAGACUAAUUGAUUGGAGAGAUGUUUUAUAUGAGCAAGGACUGGGUAAGGUAUUUAUGAAAUAACUUCCAUGCUUACUGUUGUUUCUCUCAUUCUCAAACUCCAAGGAUGAUUCUUCAUGAAUGCUAAAAAUUCCUCUAGGAUUGUCUCUCAAGUUUGUUUUAUCUAUCCAUUCAAUGGUGAUAGCACAUGGAUUUUUAAUGCCCUUUAGCCAUUGAUGUUGCUCUUCUCGAUCCUCCUUCUUAUGCAUGGGAUGUCUAGAUAGAUUCAUAGGAUUAUCGGGAGGUUCAAGAGAAAUAGCAUAGUAGAAUUUAUUAAGCUCAAGGAAGGUGUGGAUAGCCGAAUUAUGGGUUUGAAAUGUUUGGAAAUUGGCUAUUGAAACUUCCUUUCCUUGUCUGAGAGAUGAUUCCUUCUCUACCUCUAAGAUUUUUCUGUGAAGACUAGUACAAGAAGGAUGUCCACGAAUGAAGACAUACCUUCCUUUACUAAUAGAUAAAGAAAGAAGGACUCUACCAAAGGUUAUAUGAUUAAGACCAAUGUGAAAAUAUCUAGGAAAAACAUGGUCUUGUAGGGUUAGGUCUAAACAAGAAUUUAUAGAAAGAUUAAUAGAUUCCCUAGGUGUAGCUAAAAGUGCAUUAUCUUUUUGAUUAAAAGAUAGGACCUCGGCUAUAGAAAAGGGUUGGUUUUGACCUAUUGCAAUCAACUCCAGACACAGAUCAUAGUUAGGGGCAGGACGUGUUGACUCCCAUGGUCUAUGGUUGGUCUCCGAAGGUGCAAAGAAUUUAAUAAUAGGUAUGGAAUUUGAGUUAUCCAUAAAAAUAAAAAGAUAAAAGAAUAAAAGUAUAAAAGUAUAAUACAAGAUAAUAGCAAGACUCAAAAUUAUCUCAGCAUACCGUCUUUCUCCCCGGCAACGGCACCAGAAAUGCUUAUUGAUAUUUGGUAACGCAAUAAGGAAAUGAUCCGCAAACGCACGGAUAUCGGUGAGCAUUUCACCCGGGAGAUUUUCCAGAGUAUCGUAUUUAUAUUUUUACCACUGGGAGAAAGGGUGCAUCUGACUAACCAAAUCUAUUGCUACUACCCCUUUAGGCUACAAAGAAUGUCUCUCGAUGUGAGUGAUGUAUAGAGAAGACUGCAACCGUAGUCUCGUUCUAACCUUGGUAAGGAUGAUCUACUGUUCUAUUGGGGAGGCUCACGGAAUCUAGACAACACAAAGGAUGUUCGACCCGCACCUAUAACCCUACCCGUCCUGCUAACGAGAUGUGAUCUGCAAAGGUAACUCGGAAUUGUCACGUUCCUCGCUACUACCACGGUCCAGCUAGUCAGGGGAUAUCUAUGAGUACCCUAGCCUAAACACCACGUUUACGCUAACAAGUGAUUACUCUAAUACUCAACCGGAAGAGGAUUAAAGUAAACUCAUAAACCAAAGAACAAUAAAACAAGAACUUACUAGUAUUAGAAGUCGAAUUACUGAAGAAUCUUAGAAGCAAGCCUCGGGUUAGGAGACUUGAUCCCGUAGGUACAACUCGGAGUAGACACCGACAGGCCGGCCUUCCUCCGAUCCACACCUCCACUCUAUCUCUCUCAAUCUAGUAGAAACUAGAAGAUCUAUUUCUACUUUACAUUGGAUGCUAAGCCUAAAAAGAAAUAUUAUUUAGAGAAGAGGUUUUCCUUCGAGGGCACCCCUCAAUCUCUAUGAUAAUUUCUUGUCUCCUCCAGGGGCCAGAGGGGGUCUCCUUAUAUAGUCCUCCCCUUCUAUGCGUUUUGGGGUCGAUAGGCGAGGUGGUACUAUGUUAUUCUGGAUCCAAUAGGUCGGUGGAACGUCGUGUGCGAAGAGAGUCCGGAACGGAGUCCAGAGGUGGGCGGGCGCCCUGGGCCUGGCCCCUUUCGGGCUUCGCUUCCUUCCCGUGGCUUCUGGAGUCUUCUAGAUGGUAGAAAAUUGUGCGGUGGGUUGAUAUCUCUAUGUAAUCCCGACAUGUGGGCCUUUCUUCCUUAUUUCCUGAUAACCCCCUGCAGAAAUAGACAAACACCAAAACUCGUGGAAUUCUGUCAGAUAAAACCUUAAGUCUAGAUGUUGAUUUCAUUUGGAUCCUUUUCCUUGUUUAUUUGAUAAUUAAAUUUGAUACUUAAGGACCUUAACUCAGCAAUGGAUUAGAAGUUGUUGCAAUAUCUUUAAAAAUUGAUGAUACACAUGCUUUUUAAAUAAGAUCUCAUCUCUGAGUUAGAGUAAACUAUCAAGACUUAAAACUUACUUACUUUACCUUUUACCAUGGGACUUGUAACCGUCACUUCUGUCUUGAGUGGUUAAAAGAUAGAACAGUCUAUUCAAAUGCCAUGUCUCUUAUUCUUGAUCAGCUAUGGCUCUGGAUUUUUUUUGCAGAUUUUCAAAUAAAACUCAGAGAUUCCUUGUAUGAUUCUCUUAGAUCUCUCUUUUGUGGUAUUUCUGUAUCCUUACCAAGGCAGUGAUGGUAUAUGCCUUCUCUCAAAAAGUAUGUGGUAUUUGUGGUAUAAAGCAUAAUGACAUUACCUUCUCUCUCUCACCCUACUCUAAUAAGGCUUUAAUAUCUGGAGCUCAUAGGUGGGAAAUAAAAUCUACAUACUUAUAAGACAUUUAUUGCAUAGUCAAACCAUGGAUCUAAAGAAACAAAUCAAUAAGUCAAAUCAAGAUGUGCAUGUGUGGCGAAUGAAUGGUGUAUGGUGAUGAUAACAAUGGUGGAAGUCUAAUUCUACUUUUUGCUCUUUGAGGGGAUACAUACCUUCCUUGCUUUUUUUAAAAAAUUUAUGAGGAGAAUGAGAUGCUCUUCUUUUUCUUUUCUCUCAGGUGGGUAUCUUAUACCCCUAAUUCUACUGUCGGACACUUGUCCAUUUUUACCUCUCGUCUCACUUUUUCUUUUCUGUCGAGGUUUCGGGCACUUGCCCCUUUUUAUUUCCUCGUAUCUCUUUUUUUUAGAGCACUCAUCUCUUGAGAGAAUAUAGCAAGUGGUAGUAACAAGAAAACUUGAGCAUUUAUUUCACAGGGAAAAACAGAAAUAUUUUUGGCUAUUCUCUCCCGGAUUAGGAGUAGAAUAUUUUUGGGUGGUUCUGGAGAUGGAAAUGGAUGGAUAUAUAUGGAUGGUACUUCCGGAGUAGAAGUAGCAUAUGUGAGUGGACGUGCAAGUGAAUCUUGAUUUAACCACAUGACAAGCUUCUAAGGGUCUACACAGCUUGACCACACUCAAUGCUCAUAAGCAUUAAAUAGUAAAUGUGUGGCUCAAAAUCUAGCAAGCAUGUAUAUCUGGCUGUGGUAGGAAUUUAAACUCUCAUCAUACAGGAACUCAUCAUGCAAUAUUUUAAAGAUUUUCAAAGAUAAAAUUCUCCAGAAUUCUAGCAACUCUAGGAACAGAUAAACAGCAGCUCAACCUUCCCAUAUCGUAUCUGUUAACAACUUAGGCUUCAGAUCAAGUUUUCAUCCCACAAGUUUAGGUCUAGAGCAAGCUUUAAAUUAUAACAGUUAUAUCUAAACUUGAGAGAGAACUUAAAAUGUGCAAAUUAGGCAGAGCAACUAUUCAUCAUAUCCAUGCUAGAGUUUUAUUUAGAUACAGAUUAGCAUAGCCACUUUAUUUAUUUAUUAAACAUACUAAGCAAAAGAUAUAUAUAUAAGCACAAAAUCUUUAUUUAGGUUUUCAUAGUUAUAUAUAUUUAUAUUUUAAUAUAAACUAUAAAGAUAGAUAGAAAUACUUAGCGGGAUAAAUGGGGGUGCUCUCCCCCAAGCUGAAUUUUGACGUAAUUUCUUUUGAUGUAGCUAGCAGGUGGCAGAGGUGUAUUUGAAAGUCAGCAGCAUUCUGACAGCGAUUAGAAUGUCCUCCGUCUGCUAGUCUUCUCGAUUCUUAAAUUCUGUGGAGCUCAAAUAGACAACAAAGCUUGUGGAACUGAUUAAGUGUUAGCAUAAAUAUCUAGCCUUUAUCAUGUUGAGACUCCUUAAUAAUUAUUAUUCCCUGUUUUUAUAUUUUCGUUUUUAUAGAGCAGAAAAGAAAUAUUUAUUUUAUUUGUUAUGCCACCACAGUGAAUGUACUUAUGGGUUUCAUGCCACUCGUAUACUCACAUGGGGCUUACUAUUUUUCAUAUUUUUAUUUUCUUUUUAGGAUAGUAUGAACAUAAUUAACUAAGUAAACUAUUGAAAGUAACUGAAAGAGGAAGGAUAACUACCAAGUUUACCUCUUGGCAAGGCGUUCGGUGCUUUUAAGUCCUCCGAACGGGACUCUACGUUUUCUCAAUUGUCCUGAGGUUCGUUGGGUGGCGUAGUCGGUACUUCCGGCAGCGCCUCUUCUUCACGUAUAGUUAUCUUCUCUUUCCAUACCUGACUCGGUGCUUCGGUCUCCUCUAGAUAAUUCUGUUUAAACUCUACGUCUUCUGACCUUAUCACUUCUCCUUCGUAGUCUGCCCAUCCGUCCUUGAUGAUCUGGUUCCUCUGGUUGCGGUUGCGUCGUUUUCUUACCUGCUUAGAUUCUUCAACGAUAUAGUUAGGGUCAGUAAAAUAACAGCGUACCUUCUCUGAGGGAAAGUGCAUAUGGACUUCUCCGGUUCCAAUAUAGAUAAUUGCUUUAAUGGUGCUGAGGAACGGUCUUCCAAGGAUGAUGGGUGGAUCGUAUUCGUCUUCUCCCAUGUCAAUAACCUGAAAGUCUGUGUAGACAAAAUGAUCGUCUAUUUUGACUGGGACAUCAGUUACUAUUCCUUUAACUUCUCGAAAUGUCUGAUCUGCCAUCUGGAGCUGAAUGUAUGUUGGUUUUAGUGGCAUGGUUCCGAACAAGAGCCGAUAGGUGACUGCGGCCAUUAUGUUGACGCCCGAUCCGGUGUCGCAAGUCGUCUUGUAGAAGUUGUAUCUAUUUAUGGAGCAAU
rnacentral:lncRNA from 1 species